CUUUCUUUGCUGGCGACCGGCGCACGGGUGAGUAACACGUAUCCAACCUGCCCUUUACUCGGGGAUAGCCUUUCGAAGGAAAGAUUAAUACCCGAUAGCAUAAUGAUUCCGCAUGGUUUCAUUAUUAAAGGAUUCCGGUAAAGGAUGGGGAUGCGUUCCAUUAGGUUGUUGGUGAGGUAACGGCCCACCAAGCCUUCGAUGGAUAGGGGUUCUGAGAGGAAGGUCCCCCACAUUGGAACUGAGACACGGUCCAA
rnacentral:rRNA from 1 species